GGUUCGAUGGUGUAGUUGGUUUAUCACUUCUGUCUAACAUUUUCCGUCUUCACGGACUGUGCUACACAGGCGGUCCUCAGUUCGAACCUGGGUCGAAUCA